UUGGAGGGCAAGUCUGGUGCCAGCAGCCGCGGUAAUUCCAGCUCCAAUAGCGUAUAUUAAAGUUGUUGCAGUUAAAAAGCUCGUAGUUGAAUUUCGGGGUUCUACCGUUGGUCGGGCAAUUGUCUGUACUGGCGUGUAGAAUUUCUACCUUCUGGGGAACCAUCAUGUUAUUAAUUUAGCGUGGUGGGAAACCAGGACCUUUACCUUGAAAAAAUUAGAGUGUUCAAAGCAGGCUUACGUCUGAAUACAUUAGCAUGGAAUAAUAAAAUAGGACGGUGGUCCUGUUUUGUUGGUUUCUGAAUCACCGUAAUGAUUAAUAGGGAUAGUUGGGGGCAUUAGUAUUCAAUUGUCAGAGGUGAAAUUCUUGGAUUUAUUGAAGACUAACUUCUGCGAAAGCAUUUGCCAAGGAUGUUUUCAUUAAUCAAGAACGAAAGUUAGGGGAUCGAAGACGAUCAGAUACCGUCGUAGUCUUAACCAUAAACUAUGCCGACUAGGGAUCGGACGAUGUUAAUUUUUCUUGACUCGUUCGGCGCCUUACGGGAAAC
rnacentral:rRNA from 1 species